rnacentral:tRNA from 1 species
GCCAGAGUAGUCUAGGCGCAAGGCGGCGGACUGCAGAUCCGCUUUCCGCAGGUUCAAGUCCUGCCUCUGGCUCCA